rnacentral:rRNA from 1 species
CUUGCUCCUCUGGAUUAGUGGCGAACGGGUGAGUAACACGUGAGCAAUCUGCCCUUGACUCUGGGAUAAGCGCUGGAAACGGCGUCUAAUACCGGAUACGACCCUCGGAGGCAUCUCCUGUGGGUGGAAAGAACUUCGGUCAAGGAUGAGCUCGCGGCCUAUCAGCUUGUUGGUGAGGUAAUGGCUCACCAAGGCGACGACGGGUAGCCGGCCUGAGAGGGUGACCGGCCACACUGGGACUGAGACACGGCCCAGACUCCUACGGGAGGCAGCAGUGGGGAAUAUUGCACAAUGGGCGCAAGCCUGAUGCAGCAACGCCGCGUGAGGGACGACGGCCUUCGGGUUGUAAACCUCUUUUAGCAGGGAAGAAGCGAGAGUGACGGUACCUGCAGAAAAAGCACCGGCUAACUACGUGCCAGCAGCCGCGGUAAUACGUAGGGUGCAAGCGUUGUCCGGAAUUAUUGGGCGUAAAGAGCUCGUAGGCGGUCUGUCGCGUCUGCUGUGAAAACCCGAGGCUCAACCUCGGGCUUGCAGUGGGUACGGGCAGACUAGAGUGCGGUAGGGGAGAUUG